rnacentral:rRNA from 1 species
UACAUGCAAGUCGAGCGGACAGAAGGGAGCUUGCUCCCGGAUGUUAGCGGCGGACGGGUGAGUAACACGUGGGUAACCUGCCUGUAAGACUGGGAUAACUCCGGGAAACCGGAGCUAAUACCGGAUAGUUCCUUGAACCGCAUGGUUCAAGGAUGAAAGACGGUUUCGGCUGUCACUUACAGAUGGACCCGCGGCGCAUUAGCUAGUUGGUGGGGUAAUGGCUCACCAAGGCGACGAUGCGUAGCCGACCUGAGAGGGUGAUCGGCCACACUGGGACUGAGACACGGCCCAGACUCCUACGGGAGGCAGCAGUAGGGAAUCUUCCGCAAUGGACGAAAGUCUGACGGAGCAACGCCGCGUGAGUGAUGAAGGUUUUCGGAUCGUAAAGCUCUGUUGUUAGGGAAGAACAAGUGCGAGAGUAACUGCUCGCACCUUGACGGUACCUAACCAGAAAGCCACGGCUAACUACGUGCCAGCAGCCGCGGUAAUACGUAGGUGGCAAGCGUUGUCCGGAAUUAUUGGGCGUAAAGGGCUCGCAGGGCGGUUUCUUAAGUCUGAUGUGAAAGCCCCCGGCUCAACCGGGGAGGGUCAUUGGAAACUGGGAAACUUGAGUGCAGAAAAGGAGAGUGGAAUUCCACGUGUAGCGGUGAAAUGCGUAGAGAUGUGGGAGGAACACCAGUGGCGAAGGCGACUCUCUGGUCUGUAACUGACGCGCAGCCGCGGUAAUACGUAGGUGGCAGCGUGUCCGGAAUUAUUGGGCGUAAAGGGCUCGCAGGCGGUUUCUUAAGUCUGAUGUGAAAGCCCCCGGCUCAACCGGGGAGGGUCAUUGGAAACUGGGAAACUUGAGUGCAGAAGAGGAGAGUGGAACUCCACGUGUAGCGGUGAAAUGCGUAGAGAUGUGGAGGAACACCAGUGGCGAAGGCGACUCUCUGGUCUGUAACUGACGCUGAGGAGCGAAAGCGUGGGGAGCGAACAGGAUUAGAUACCCUGGUAGUCCACGCCGUAAACGAUGAGUGCUAAGUGUUAGGGGGUUUCCGCCCCUUAGUGCUGCAGCUAACGCAUUAAGCACUCCGCCUGGGGAGUACGGUCGCAAGACUGAAACUCAAAGGAAUUGACGGGGGCCCGCACAAGCGGUGGAGCAUGUGGUUUAAUUCGAAGCAACGCGAAGAACCUUACCAGGUCUUGACAUCCUCUGACAACCCUAGAGAUAGGGCUUUCCCUUCGGGGACAGAGUGACAGGUGGUGCAUGGUUGUCGUCAGCUCGUGUCGUGAGAUGUUGGGUUAAGUCCCGCAACGAGCGCAACCCUUGAUCUUAGUUGCCAGCAUUCAGUUGGGCACUCUAAGGUGACUGCCGGUGACAAACCGGAGGAAGGUGGGGAUGACGUCAAAUCAUCAUGCCCCUUAUGACCUGGGCUACACACGUGCUACAAUGGACAGAACAAAGGGCUGCAAGACCGCAAGGUUUAGCCAAUCCCAUAAAUCUGUUCUCAGUUCGGAUCGCAGUCUGCAACUCGACUGCGUGAAGCUGGAAUCGCUAGUAAUCGCGGAUCAGCAUGCCGCGGUGAAUACGUUCCCGGGCCUUGUACACACCGCCCGUCACACCACGAGAGUUUGCAACACCCGAAGUCGGUGAGGUAACCUUUAUGGAGCCAGCCGCCGAAU